rnacentral:rRNA from 1 species
AUUGAACGCUGGCGGCAGGCCUUACACAUGCAAGUCGAGCGGGGUUUUCGGACCUAGCGGCGGACGGGUGAGUAAUGCGUAGGAAGCUACCCGAUAGAGGGGGAUACCAGUUGGAAACGACUGUUAAUACCGCAUAAUGUCUACGGACCAAAGUGUGGGACCUUCGGGCCACAUGCUAUCGGAUGCGCCUACGUGGGAUUAGCUAGUUGGUGAGGUAAUGGCUCACCAAGGCGACGAUCCCUAGCUGGUUUGAGAGGAUGAUCAGCCAAACUGGAACAGAGACACGGUCCAGACUCCUACGGUAGGCAGCAGUGGGGAAUAUUGGACAAUGGGCGCAAGCCUGAUCCAGCCAUGCCGCGUGUGUGAAGAAGGCCUUCGGAUUGUAAAGCACUUUCAGUAGGGAGGAAGCGUUGUGUGUUAAUAGUACACAGCGUUGACGUUACCUACAGAAGAAGCACCGGCUAACUCUGUGCCAGCCGCCGCAGUAACAC